rnacentral:rRNA from 1 species
CAGCAGCCGCGGGAACACGAAGGGUGCAAGCGUUAAUCGGAAUUACUGGGCGUAAAGCGCGCGUAGGUGGUUUGGUAAGAUGGAUGUGAAAUCCCCGGGCUCAACCUGGGAACUGCAUCCAUAACUGCCUGACUAGAGUACGGUAGAGGGUGGUGGAAUUUCCUGUGUAGCGGUGAAAUGCGUAGAUAUAGGAAGGAACACCAGUGGCGAAGGCGACCACCUGGACUGAUACUGACACUGAGGUGCGAAAGCGUGGGGAGCAAACAGGAUUAGAUACCCCCGUAGUCCCUGUCUCUUAUAA